rnacentral:rRNA from 1 species
AACGAACGCUGGCGGCAGGCCUAACACAUGCAAGUCGAACGCUGUAGCAAUACAGAGUGGCAGACGGGUGAGUAACGCGUGGGAACCUUCCCAAUGGUACGGAAUAGCUCAGGGAAACUUGAGGUAAUACCGUAUAAGCCCCUAGGGGGAAAGAUUUAUCGCCAUUGGAUGGGCCCGCGUCGGAUUAGCUAGUUGGUGGGGUAAUGGCCUACCAAGGCGACGAUCCGUAGCUGGUUUGAGAGAAUGACCAGCCACACUGGGACUGAGACACGGCCCAGACUCCUACGGGAGGCAGCAGUGGGGAAUCUUGGACAAUGGGCGCAAGCCUGAUCCAGCCAUGCCGCGUGAGUGACGAAGGCCUUAGGGUUGUAAAGCUCUUUUGCCGGGGACGAUAAUGACGGAACCCGGAGAAUAAGUCCCGGCUAACUUCGUGCCAGCAGCCGCGGUAA